rfam:Canis lupus familiaris chromosome 35, whole genome shotgun sequence.
CAAAAGGCUCUUUUCAGAGCCACCCACUUAAUGAACCAAAGGAGCU